rnacentral:rRNA from 1 species
CGCCUAACACAUGCAAGUCGAACGCAGUAGCAAUACUGAGUGGCAAACGGGUGAGUAUAAUGUGGGAAUCUGCCUUUUGGUUUGGAAUAACACGGGGAAACUUGUGCUAAUACCGAAUAAGCCCUUACGGGGAAAGUUUUAACGCCGAAAGAUGAGCCUGCACUUGAUUAGCUAGUUGGUAAGGUAAAAGCUUACCAAGGCAACGAUCAAUAGCUGUUCUUAGAGGAAGACCAGCCACAUUGGGACUGAGACACGGCCCAGACUCCUACGGGAGGCAGCAGUGGGGAAUCUUGCACAAUGGGGGAAACCCUGAUGCAGCGAUGCCGCGUGAGUGAAGAAGGCCCUUGGGUUGUAAAACUCUUUCGUCGGGGAAGAAAAUGACUGUACCCGAAUAAGAAGGUCCGGCUAACUUCGUGCCAGCAGCCGCGGUAAUACGAAGGGACCUAGCGUAGUUCGGAAUUACUGGGCUUAAAGAGCUCGUAGGUGGUUAAAAAAGUUGAUGGUGAAAUCCCAAGGCUCAACCUUGGAACUGCCAUCAAAACUUUUUAGCUAGAGUGUGAUAGAGGUAAGUGGAAUUUCUAGUGUAGAGGUGAAAUUCGUAGAUAUUAGAAAGAACACCAAAUGCGAAGGCAACUUACUGGGUCACUACUGACACUGAGGAGCGAAAGCAUGGGUAGCGAAGAGGAUUAGAUACCCUCGUAGUCCAUGCCGUAAACGAUGUGUGCUAGACGUUGGAAAUAUAUUUUUCAGUGUCGCAGCGAAAGCAUUAAGCACACCGCCUGGGGAG